rnacentral:rRNA from 1 species
UUAAGCGACUAAGCGUACACGGUGGAUGCCCUGGCAGUCAGAGGCGAUGAAGGACGUGCUAAUCUGCGAAAAGCGUCGGUAAGGUGAUAUGAACCGUUACAGCCGGCGAUGUCCGAAUGGGGAAACCCAGUGCAAUUCGUUGCACUAUCGUUAACUGAAUACAUAGGUUAACGAGGCGAACCGGGGGAACUGAAACAUCUAAGUACCCCGAGGAAAAGAAAUCAACCGAGAUUCCCCCAGUAGCGGCGAGCGAACGGGGAGCAGCCCGGAGUCUGAAUCAGCUUGUGUGUUAGUGGAAGCGUCUGGAAAGUCGCAGGGUACAGGGUGAUACUCCCGUACACUAAAACACACAGGCUGUGAACUCGAAGAGUAGGGCGGGACACGUGGUAUCCUGUCUGAAUAUGGGGGGACCAUCCUCCAAGGCUAAAUACUCCUGACUGACCGAUAGUGAACCAGUACCGUGAGGGAAAGGCGAAAAGAACCCCGGCGAGGGGAGUGAAAAAGAACCUGAAACCGUGUACGUACAAGCAGUAGGAGCCCACUAGUUGGGUGACUGCGUACCUUUUGUAUAAUGGGUCAGCGACUUAUAUUCUGUAGCAAGGUUAACCGUAUAGGGGAGCCGCAGGGAAACCGAGUCUUAACUGGGCGUUAAGUUGCAGGGUAUAGACCCGAAACCCGGUGAUCUAGCCAUGGGCAGGUUGAAGGUUGGGUAACACUAACUGGAGGACCGAACCGACUAAUGUUGAAAAAUUAGCGGAUGACUUGUGGCUGGGGGUGAAAGGCCAAUCAAACCGGGAGAUAGCUGGUUCUCCCCGAAAGCUAUUUAGGUAGCGCCUCGUGAACUCAUCUUCGGGGGUAGAGCACUGUUUCGGCUAGGGGGUCAUCCCGACUUACCAACCCGAUGCAAACUACGAAUACCGAAGAAUGUUAUCACGGGAGACACACGGCGGGUGCUAACGUCCGUCGUGAAGAGGGAAACAACCCAGACCGCCAGCUAAGGUCCCAAAGUCAUGGUUAAGUGGGAAACGAUGUGGGAAGGCCCAGACAGCCAGGAUGUUGGCUUAGAAGCAGCCAUCAUUUAAAGAAAGCGUAAUAGCUCACUGGUCGAGUCGGCCUGCGCGGAAGAUGUAACGGGGCUAAACCAUGCACCGAAGCUGCGGCAGCGACACUAUGUGUUGUUGGGUAGGGGAGCGUUCUGUAAGCCGUUGAAGGUGGCCUGUGAGGGUUGCUGGAGGUAUCAGAAGUGCGAAUGCUGACAUAAGUAACGAUAAUGCGGGUGAAAAACCCGCACGCCGGAAGACCAAGGGUUCCUGUCCAACGUUAAUCGGGGCAGGGUGAGUCGACCCCUAAGGCGAGGCCGAAAGGCGUAGUCGAUGGGAAACAGGUUAAUAUUCCUGUACUUGGUGUUACUGCGAAGGGGGGACGGAGAAGGCUAUGUUGGCCGGGCGACGGUUGUCCCGGUUUAAGCAUGUAGGCGGAUGUUCCAGGUAAAUCCGGAGCGUCACUAACGCUGAGGUGUGAUGACGAGGCACUACGGUGCUGAAGUGACAAAUGCCCUGCUUCCAGGAAAAGCCUCUAAGCAUCAGGUAACAUCAAAUCGUACCCCAAACCGACACAGGUGGUCAGGUAGAGAAUACCAAGGCGCUUGAGAGAACUCGGGUGAAGGAACUAGGCAAAAUGGUGCCGUAACUUCGGGAGAAGGCACGCUGAUGGUAGGUGAAGUGACUUGCUCAUGGAGCUGAAAUCAGUCGAAGAUACCAGCUGGCUGCAACUGUUUAUUAAAAACACAGCACUGUGCAAACACGAAAGUGGACGUAUACGGUGUGACGCCUGCCCGGUGCCGGAAGGUUAAUUGAUGGGGUUAUCCUCGCGGAGAAGCUCUUGAUCGAAGCCCCGGUAAACGGCGGCCGUAACUAUAACGGUCCUAAGGUAGCGAAAUUCCUUGUCGGGUAAGUUCCGACCCGCACGAAAGGCGUAACGAUUUGGGCACUGUCUCAACGAGAGACUCGGUGAAAUUUUAGUACCUGUGAAGAUGCAGGUUACCCGCGACAGGACGGAAAGACCCCAUGGAGCUUUACUGUAGUUUGAUAUUGAGUGUUUGUACCACAUGUACAGGAUAGGUAGGAGCCGAUGAGACCGGAACGCUAGUUUCGGAGGAGGCGCUGGUGGGAUACUACCCUUGUGUUAUGAACCCUCUAACCCGCACCACUAAUCGUGGUGGGAGACAGUGUCAGAUGGGCAGUUUGACUGGGGCGGUCGCCUCCUAAAAGGUAACGGAGGCGCCCAAAGGUUCCCUCAGAAUGGUUGGAAAUCAUUCGAAGAGUGUAAAGGCAGAAGGGAGCUUGACUGCGAGACCUACAAGUCGAGCAGGGACGAAAGUCGGGCUUAGUGAUCCGGUGGUUCCGCAUGGAAGGGCCAUCGCUCAACGGAUAAAAGCUACCCUGGGGAUAACAGGCUUAUCUCCCCCAAGAGUCCACAUCGACGGGGAGGUUUGGCACCUCGAUGUCGGCUCGUCGCAUCCUGGGGCUGUAGUCGGUCCCAAGG